rnacentral:rRNA from 1 species
AGCAACGCCGCGUGGAGGACGAAGGUCUUCGGAUCGUAAACUCCUGUCAGACGGGACGAAGGAUUGAGGGUGAACAAUCCUUGAUCUUGACGGUACUGUCAGAGGAAGCCCCGGCUAACUCCGUGCCAGCAGCCGCGGUAAUACGGAGGGGGCGGGCGUUAUUCGGAAUUAUUGGGCGUAAAGGGCGCGUAGGCGGCUUGACAAGUCAAAGGUGAAAUCCCUCGGCUCAACUGAGGAACUGCCUUUGAAACUGUCAGGCUUGAGUCCGGGGAGGGGGUAGCGGAAUUCCCAGUGUAGCGGUGAAAUGCGUAGAUAUUGGGAGGAACACCAGUGGCGAAGGCGGCUACCUGGACCGGAACUGACGCUGAUGCGCGAAAGCGUGGGUAGCAAACAGGAUUAGAUACCCUGGUAGUCCACGCUGUAAACGAUGGGUGCUCGGUGUCGCGGGUAUCGACCCCUGCGGUGCCUUAGCCAACGCGUUAAGCACCCCGCCUGGGGAGUACGGUCGCAAGGCUG